GUUUUGACGGCAUUGGACCAAAACAAUAAAACAACCUGUUGCAACUAAACGUCUAGUCGUGUGAGGUAAAGAACAGGAAAUCUUUUUAAACUACAAAAAAUAUUGGACAGGAAGAAAGGUGUAAUUCAAAUGGUUCCGUACCUACUUGCUCGUGUCUCGUUACCUUGAAUCAUUCUCUGAGUAGUGUUAUAUUUUCACUUAAAUUUGAUCAGAAAAUCAAAAAUCACAACAAAUAUGAUCUACUGUAACAAGAACGAAAUAUUUGAUUUACUGUUUGUUGCUAUUGGUAUUUUAAUGUUGUUAGGGAAUGCAGUUGCAUUAAAAAGUAAAGGUAAAUGUUUAAAUCGUUAUUUUGAAGCUUAUACUCGUAUAUAG